AGGCUGCGUUUUGAUUUCUUCACCGUCACAACCACGUGUUUCAAGCGAUGAUUUCCAGUCAGUUAGAGAACAUGAGUUAAAAUGUCUUCAUGAGAAGAGGAGCAUUGUAAUCCUCUCAAGAUGGAUGGACGAGUCCCUGCUGCACACUUUGUCGUAUAUCAUAUAUAAAGGGUUUCAAGUGAAGAGAGGUUCAUGCGAACGUGCACGUGUGAAUCAUUAUGGUUACGGCUUAUAGCUUCGGCAGGGCAGUCGUUUUCGUCGCACUUGUAUUAAUAAUAUUUGAAAUAGAAAUCCCAUCGUCAGCAUUUGGGAAUCCUGUGCCAUCGCCAACUUUGUCAGGCAAUCCGAGUGGUAGUCCUGGUCCAAAACGAGGUGCUCGCACGGGCACUAGUUUCACUUUGACGCGUCAACAAGGCAAUAAAUAUCAGAAACAGAUUGCCGCUGCUCAGAAGCAGCAGAAGCAACAGCAACGACCACCACAACCACCACAACGGCGGCGACAAUAAUAAAAAAAAGAUGCGACAAUGAAACCGGAAGUUUUUUUGACAGACAUGAUUCAUCCUGCAGACGGUUGCUCCAUAACAGAUGAAUCCUGUAGCGGUCAUCGCAUAAGAGGGCGCUCACAUGCCACGGAACUGUACACCCGCUGCAAGAACGUUUGGGAGGACCUCAGCAACAAACCGUCAGAAGGAUCUGUUUCUGUCAUUAAGCUUGUUAUUUGUCUUUAUUUGUGUGGUGCAAAGUAAGAUGAAAGUGUAACACAGGUAUUAAAAGAAGUUAAACUGG